rnacentral:rRNA from 1 species
UACGUAGGGUGCGAGCGUUGUCCGGAAUUAUUGGGCGUAAAGAGCUUGUAGGCGGUUUGUCGCGUCUGCUGUGAAAACUCAGGGCUUAACCCUGAGCUUGCAGUGGGUACGGGCAGACUAGAGUGCGGUAGGGGAGACUGGAAUUCCUGGUGUAGCGGUGAAAUGCGCAGAUAUCAGGAGGAACACCGGUGGCGAAGGCGGUUCUCUGGGCAUUACCUGACGCUGAGGAGCGAAAGUGUGGGGAGCGAACAGG